UACGGGGGGGGCAAGCGUUGUUCGGAAUUACUGGGCGUAAAGGGCUCGUAGGUGGCCAACUAAGUCGGACGUGAAAUCCCUCAGCUUAACUGGGGAACUGCGUCCGAUACUGGAUGGCUCGAGUUUGGGAGAGGGAUGCGGAAUUCCAGGUGUAGCGGCGAAAUGCGUAGAUAUCUGGAGGAACACCGGUGGCGAAGGCGGCAUCCUGGACCAACACUGACACUGAGGAGCGAAAGCUAGGGGAGCAAACGGG
rnacentral:rRNA from 1 species